rnacentral:lncRNA from 1 species
UCGUCUUGAUAAUCUUUUAUGACACCUAUAAUUGAGUGGUUUGGAGUACAAGGCGCAUAAGUGCAGUAUUUGCUAUUCAAGAAAAACGUGUUUGAAGUUUCGAAAUUACGUGGAUCCUUGUGGCGGAAAGAAAGUUCAAACUGACUUAAAAAUCGGAAUUCGGGAGCGAAUUUUUCACAGAAAAUGUAUUAAGACUAGGUUUACCUGAAAUCAUUAAUAUCUCAAUUUUUUAAAAAAAACUGCACUUAUGCUCCUUGUCCUCCAAGCUCCUUAAUUGGCCUUCCUUCAAUGAGAAGAGUAAACAUAGAAAUUUUCAGAUGUAUAUUUCCUUGCUUCUGCAGAACUCCUGGAACCCUGUCAUAUCCAGCUCCAUCUUGUACCAUCCAGUCGUCAACAUUGUUUUGUCUCGGUAGUGCAGUAAAUGCAUCCUUCACAAUUUCUGCGAACAAAUCAAUCGCAAGGUCCUUGAGGUGAAUGAAACACUCAUGAAUAUGGAGCGCUUCUCGGAGUGAAACUUUCAGAAAUCGCGAGAGGGGUUUUGUAUUUUUCUCUGAAAUUAUUUAUAAACGUUCAGUUUCCUCAUCCCACUCCGCUAGACCAUGAUGAGUUGUUUUCUGGAACUUUGAGUUUUUCUGUCGAGAAGCCCUUCGUAUCGAUUUGUUUUUCAAUUGAGGGGAGAUUUAAUUAUAGCUGGGCAGUUCUCGCUAACAUUUAUAAAUAUGCAGGAGUCAAAGGGUCACUUUUUAGUAUUGCUUCAUUCCCUGAGCGGGCACCAUGCUCUGUCUAUCUUACUUCUUCUUACCCAGCUGCAUACUAUCAGCGGCUGUCAUCAUAAAUGCAACUCGCAGUCACAUACCCGAGAGUUUGACCGAUGUUGAGGAAGAGGCUUCGCGCGAGAAGACAGAGGACACAAAUACUCUGGAAUCCUUAUCAGCAGCCCUUGGUAAUUCAAUUGAAGUAUCCUCUGACAUACCGUGCCACAUGGACGUCCAAGUGACAAAACGAGUGACCGGGCAUUGUGUGAGUCUGGGCCACGCUACUAGGGGCUGCAUCGCGGGAUCCUACUUGCACCCUUUCCACCACGAAUGUCUCGGAAAAUAAGCAUCCACCCCCAAAAUCACACCCCGUUCCCGAAAAUAACCUCGUGACCUUAUUCAUCUUUCCGACAUAAUUAUCCUUUUUCUACUCCAUGUUAAUGAAUUUUGUUCCCUGUUUACGUUGCUAAGCUAUCAAUAAAAUUUUUUGUUUUACACUUUUCUUAAUUCCUUGGUUUUCUUCUUUAUCUCGCUCAAGCCAUGUGAUAAUAUGCUACUUUUGAGUAUGUCUCGGGACUAGUACCUGUUGCAGUCCUAAUCUGCCGUGCUGAGGAAAAACGCCGUAUUAACCUUCAGGUGUUGCCUAAUUUCUACUAGUAAAUCACGAAUUUUCGGUAAAAUUUGUAAACAUUGUUCUUCCAGUUUUUCAGAUACUUUUGUUCGCAAUUACACCUGAAGUUCCUGAAAAUUUGAAGGAAAAAUAUUCAUAGCUUUACUCAAAAAUAAACAUUUUAUCGAAGGAGAUUUGGCAACUCUCGAAUGUUCAUACGCCGUUUUUCCUUAGCACGGCAGUGAUACGCAACUCACUUUUUCCCAGGAAGAGUAACAUAAUAAAAAAAAAACGGUAUUUAUGAGCAAGGCAAGUAUUCAUACAAAAUUGAAGCAGAUUAUCAGAUAUGUGUAUAGGCUGUUCAAAUAGUAGUGAGACAAAUGCUAUAACUUCAAAAGUAAGCUGGUAGAGGCUUAUUCUUAGUCUUACUAUAAAAACAGGCUUAAUAGCUUUCUUAUGAGACCAAGAUCAACUCAUUUAGUUAAAAAUUAAGAAAAUUAUGGAGGUUUAAAUAGCGAGUGUCGCAUUUCCGCAUACGAUUUUUAACGAAGAUUUUCACUCACUGGGAUUGAUCUCUCAAACUAUUGCGCGAUAAGAUGUUAUGCCAGAAACAGCUUGGCAACCCUACGAGCUACUAGAUGACAUUUUAUCGUAGUCGUCAUCCGACUAGGAGACCCAAAAAUCCCAAAGGCAACUAGCCCGGUUGUCAGAAUGCACACCCAAAAAUCGGGAAAAUCUGACCAGUGCGAAAAAACGCCUUUAUGGGCGCGGGUACAUCGCGGUUACCGAGUGGUUUUGCUCCGUUCUGUGCUAAUUUUUUAAUUAAUUACAAAAUCAUGUUCUUGUACCAAAUCAUUGUCUUCUUACACGUAAUGUGGAAGACAACAGAACGAUGAUUAAUCUUUGUGUUUCGGCUGCGACGGAUGAUUGCAGGUGAUCUAAAAUUAUUUCGCCUUCAAUAUAACAAUGUGGGCAACCCAAGUUCCUUCAUGUUAAAAUUGUGGUAUCGCUCUGCUUUAUGUUGUAGCUGUGAAUACCUAUCACACACGCUUCAGAGUUUGUUUUUGUUCUUUACGCACAUUGCCACACAAUAUUAAUGUUAAUGAGUCACAGCUCGUGAAGACAAUCCAUAAUUUCUUCACCUCCUGGUAGGUGUAAAUAAUCAGAAGCCAACAGUAUGAACAUGAAAAAGAAGAACAAGUGAAAUGAAAGUAAAUUUGAAAGAGCUCCCUUUGAAUUUUUACCUUUUGAAUCAAAGACCUUAAUUGAUCGAUCGAAGCAACACACACACAAAGUAAAAAUUAGACCUAUUUAUGUAUGCCACAAGGAACUAUGUGCAUGUGUUAUGCGUGCAACGUAGUUCCUUUCAGCAUGAAUGCGUUAUAUUGAUAUAUCCUCCAUCUUCAGGUAAAUAGAUUCAAAUUUUCAAGCCAAAUGCGACGCAGGUUUAGCCUAUGUUGAUUAAAAUCCAGAGUGCAGUAAGGUGUAAGUAAUGCGGUAUUAGCAUUUUGUAUGGACGCGAAGGAGGCUUAGCUAAGCAAUGUUGUCUUGUGGUGAUGGAAUAUUUAUCAAAUCGCAGCAGGGAAUUUAUUGCGAGUAAAAUCGCAAAAUCCAAGAGCAUAUAAAGGAUUUUUAUUUUUUCUUUCCUUACACAUUCGAUUGAGAAUUCAAUUCAGAGUCCUUAUCUCAUAUAUUCUUGGUGGAUUCCUUUGGAAUUGUUUAAGUUAUUAAGAUGCGUUAUAGACAGGGCCGUAUUUAGGGGGUGGCCAAUUGGGCCACGGCCCAUGGCGGCAAAUUUUGCAAUUUUUUGCAUAUUUAGUUAUCAAAAAAAAUCGAAUUCAGAAAAAAUAUCACAAAAGAGAAAAGGUGACAAAAUCUCUCAUUUCCAAAGAGUUAAAGUAUGGUGAUUUCUAAUUUGUUCUUCUUUCGGUGAUACAAAAGACAGCACCUUUCACUAGUCUAGGUAAGAGAGAAAUCAAACACGCAAUUUGGCCUGGAGCGCGGCGCGGCGCAGAGAGCAAUGAUAACGAGGACUUGAGAUGAAAAGGAGAAGCCCUCGGCGCGCCGGUCAGCAUGAUACACAUAUUAGCGCCUGCAAGACUCCGUGAAUACUUCACGCAUUGCGUCAAAAACAGUGCGGUCAGCAGCGGUCGGCAUGAAACGCAUAGCGCCUACAAAACUGCAUGAAUACUUCACGCAUUGUGCCAAACACAGUGCGGUCGGCGGAAAUUAAAAUUAUUAAACCACAUUCAUGUUUAUUCUCUCAUAAUUUUUUCGUUCAUUUGCUAUAAAUGAAUGGCCUUCUCCACAAAGAGAUAGGUUUACGGAACUUAAAUUUCGCACGAAGUUCCCUGAACUUUUGUUAGUAGUGUUGACAGGGCUUUCCCGAAAAAUUUGUCCAACAUGAGUAAACGCGUCUUAUGCACCCCUCCCCGACCGGCACGUUCACUGGAUGGUUUGUUUUGAUGUUUCAAAACGACUGAGAAGAAGGCGGCAAAAUACAGGCGGCCCAUGGGCAGCAAGUAGGUAAAACCGGCCCUGGUUAUAGACAUUAAAUAACAUGUAAUAUGAAAGCAGAGGUACCUACAUUUCAAACGACAAAAAAAACAGGUGGUUACUGGUUAGUCUGUAAUUUCUAAGAAUUUAGGGAAGGAAAGCAAUAAUACAAGCGAAAGAAAAUUAAUAGAUGAAAAAAGGCUCAUAGGUUUAUAGCUUCACAAAUCCUGGCGACCCGGACAAAUUGUAGCAUUUUUAACCACUCGUUGAGGUGAUUUAUGCACGGUAAGUUCGUCAUGGGGCUUGUUAUUUUUAAGAAAAAAAAAUUCAAGUCGAGGUAAGUGCACUGUAUUAAUUUCAUCACACGCGAUCCACUACCCUAUCUGCAUAAUAUUUCAAUCAGUGUUUUUACAGCCGUUUGCUCUUAGUCAAAAAGUGAAUAUAAUUUAUCAAAAUUUUUGUCCGCAAUGCGAAACUCCUAUCUUAUUGACGCCUUCUUUCAAAAUUUUGUAGAGGCCACACUGAAUAAGUUUUCGCACUUCCGAGGGGCGAUAAAGCAUCUGCUUUGUGUAUGUAUAAACAUGUCUGCAACGUCACAUACCGAGAACAAUUCUCCAUAUCUUUCUGAAGAGAUCGACAGAUAGGUAGUAAAUGACACUUUUUUCUUAAAUAUACCGAACAGUGUGGCCUGAAAUUUUGUUUUUUCAACUUAAAAUAUGACUCUUAGUGUCAUGAAAUAACAAAAUUUCACGUCAACCUGUUCGGUGCUUUUAGAAAAAGUCUCAUGUGUCACUCACGAAUCUCUUUAGGAAAAACUAGAGAAUUGAUUUCAGAAAUCUCCGACGCAUAAAUUUUCCCUUGUUUUCGAGAUUUUUCGAUGAAAAAUGAACGCCGUGUUAUUUUCCAUAAGGGCCCCAAAACGUGGUCACCAGAUGGAUCAGCCAAUCAGAGACGACUCGUAAAAGUAGAGGGUGCCACUCGGGCCGCAAUUCAAAUUACGGCUCUUGUUUUCUCUUUGCCUGAAUGGCAACACGGUAAAAGGAAAAGCUCAAAAGUCGUGAAAAAGGGAUCCCCAGAGAAACGGCGGCGCGCGGUUUAGAGUCAAGUGUCGUCGUCGAAAGCUCAAAGCUCGAAGCUCGGUCCAG